rnacentral:tRNA from 16 species
GGCGGCGUAGCUCAGCUGGCUAGAGCGUACGGUUCAUACCCGUAAGGUCGGGGGUUCGAUCCCCUCCGCCGCUACCA